CAUUCACUGAAACCUAAGUAGCUACAUCUUUACCAUACCUUAACUUCUCUCUGGAGUACAAAAAGCAUAUAAUGUCCAUUUGGGUCACCCAGGAAUGAGCCCACAGUCGCUUUUCCCCCUGUUUUAAGUUUCUUCAGCACAAAAGCGCUUUCAUCAUGCAAAGCGCUUCUGUAGCCGUGAUUCUCAGAUUCUAUCCUCUUCCCCCGCGAUGACCUACGAACUCACGCGAGGACGCGGACGAUGAUUGGUCGGUGACUAACCUGUAGUGUUGCCAGUCCCCCGAGAACGACGCAAAACGAAAAUAACUGCUUAAUCUGACAUAGUGAACAUUGUGAGGGACAAAAAUGUUGUGUAGUCUGAGCUUGGCAUAACACUAACUUUACCUGGUGCAGAUGCGCUCACUGCACUGCCGUGCUGACUGCAACCGAGUGGAUUUGCUGUCAGGAGGCUAACGUGAACCAUUUGCUCUGAUAUCGUCCCUGCAGAACCCUGAGCAGAACUUUUCAGAUGCUUUUCCAAGAGCGAGAAGUUUUGGAGGUGUCUAUACUCUCUCUACGUGAGUUCCGUGCAGAAACCCUGGAGCCCGUCAACAGCAGUGCUCUCGCUCAUCAUGUUGUGGGUUGAAGGAAGCUCUCUGUGGAAGAGCUGCAGAGAUCUCACUUCCCAGAGCUGCACUGUGGGUGCUGGGUGUCACAUGACAGGAAAGGCGUCCUGCAGCAGCAGAGCAGCGAGACAAGACAAGAAAAGAAAAUUCAUUAGCACUGACCUGGCUUUGGACACUGAGGGUAAGCUUUAGAAGGUGUUGGCGGGUGGGGUGCUGGUGCUGCUGGUGGUGGUGGUGC
rnacentral:lncRNA from 1 species